UACGGAGGGGGCUAGCGUUGUUCGGAAUUACUGGGCGUAAAGCGCACGUAGGCGGCUUUGUAAGUUAGAGGUGAAAGCCCAGGGCUUAGCCCUGGAAUUGCCUUUAAGACUGCAUCGCUAGAAUCGUGGAGAGGUAAGUGGAAUUCCGAGUGUAGAGGUGAAAUUCGUAGAUAUUCGGAAGAACACCAGUGGCGAAGGCGAUCACCUGGGGUUGUUCUGACGCUGAGGAGCGAAAGCUAGGGGAGCAAACGGG
rnacentral:rRNA from 1 species